UGUAGUCAUAUGCUUGUCUCAAAGAUUAAGCCAUGCAUGUCUAAGUAUAAGCACCCUUAUACUGCGAAACUGCGUACAGCUCAUUAUAUCAGCAAUUAUUUAUUUGAAGGUCACCUAUUACAUGGAUAACCGUGGUAAUUCUAGAGCUAAUACAUGCGAAAAAGCGGUGGGUAACUAUCGCUGUAUUUAUUAGAUAAAGAAUCAAUACCGGGUCUCUCGGUUUUAUUGAUGAAUCAUAAUAACUGUUCGAAUCGCACGACUUGUUCGGCGAUAGUUCAUUCAAAUUUCUGCCCUAUCAGUUUUGACGGUAGUGUAGUGGACUACCGUGACGUCAACGGGUAACGGGGAAU
rnacentral:rRNA from 1 species